AAUUACCCCCUUAUCUGCGAUAUGCAAGUCUUGUCUCCCGGAGCAGAUCCGUAUACCUCCCCAUCGGCACAGCUUUGUAUGUAAUGUACUCGUGCAACAUGAACGCAGGGUACUUGGUGCCUGAGAGAUUGCCCGCAAGCUUCCUUUCUUUAGGGAUCGAAUAAGGAAAAGCCAGCGGGAAAAAGUGGGAAGGUCAUGUAAACAGGAAAGCCCGGUCAAAACCUCGCGCCACCCGCCCCUCACUGUCUAGCAAUGAAACAAACAAGGCGCAGUGGAGUUUUCGAUUUUAUAAAAAAAGGGGGGGUGGGAGGAGAGAAGAAAAAUUUGUUUCCCUGGAGGCGG
rnacentral:sRNA from 1 species